UUGAACGCUGGCGGCAGGCCUAACACAUGCAAGUCGAGCGGAUGAAGGGAGCUUGCUCCUGGAUUCAGCGGCGGACGGGUGAGUAAUGCCUAGGAAUCUGCCUGGUAGUGGGGGAUAACGUCCGGAAACGGGCGCUAAUACCGCAUACGUCCUGAGGGAGAAAGUGGGGGAUCUUCGGACCUCACGCUAUCAGAUGAGCCUAGGUCGGAUUAGCUAGUUGGUGGGGUAAAGGCCUACCAAGGCGACGAUCCGUAACUGGUCUGAGAGGAUGAUCAGUCACACUGGAACUGAGACACGGUCCAGACUCCUACGGGAGGCAGCAGUGGGGAAUAUUGGACAAUGGGCGAAAGCCUGAUCCAGCCAUGCCGCGUGUGUGAAGAAGGUCUUCGGAUUGUAAAGCACUUUAAGUUGGGAGGAAGGGCAGUAAGUUAAUACCUUGCUGUUUUGACGUUACCAACAGGAUAAGCAUCGGCUAACUUCGUG
rnacentral:rRNA from 1 species